rnacentral:rRNA from 1 species
GGCCAGUCGGGUGCUGUGCUUCGGCCGGUUCACGAUUUGGUCAUCCGUAGGGGAAACCUAUUCGGCCUUCACUGGUCGGUAGGCGGAAUCUACAAUUUACUGUGAAAAAAUUAGAGUGUUUCAGGCAGGCAAUCGCUUGGAUACUCCAGCAUGGAAUAAUGGAAUAGGACUUUUGUCUAUUUGUUGGUUCAAGGCAAAAGUA